GAUGAAGAACGUAGUGAAAUGCGAUAAGUAAUGUGAAUUGCAGAAUUCAGUGAAUCAUCGAAUCUUUGAACGCACAUUGCGCCCCCUGGUAUUCCGGGGGGCAUGCCUGUCCGAGCGUCAUUACAACCCUCAAGCUCAGCUUGGUGUUGGGCCCCGCCGCCCCGGCGGGCCCUAAAGUCAGUGGCGGUGCCGUCCGGCUCCGAGCGUAGUAAUUCUUCUCGCUCUGGAGGUCCGGUCGUGUGCUCGCCAGCAACCCCCAAUUUUUUUCAGGUUGACCUCGGAUCAGGUAGGGAUACCCGCUGAACUUAAGCAUAUCAAUAAGCGGAGA
rnacentral:misc_RNA from 1 species